AUACGUAGGUCCCGAACGUUGCGCGAAUUUACUGGGCGUAAAGGGUCCGUAGGCGGUCUGGUAAGUGGAAGGUGAAAUCCUGGGGCUCAACUUCAGAAUUGCCUUCCAAACUGCCGGACUUGAGGCAGGGAGAGGUCGGCGGAAUUCCCGGCGUAGCGGUGAAAUGCGUAGAUAUCGGGAGGAACACCAGUGGCGAAGGCGGCCGACUGGAACUGUCCUGACGCUGAGGGACGAAAGCCAGGGGAGCAAACCGGAUUAGAAACCCUAGUAGUCC
rnacentral:rRNA from 1 species